rnacentral:lncRNA from 1 species
GUGUGCUCCCCCUGUGUGUGCUCCCGCUGUGUGCUCCCCCUGUGUGUGCUCCCCUGUGUAUGCUCCCCCCUUGUAUGCUCCCCGUGUGUGCUCCCGGUGUGUGUGCUCCCGCUGUGUGCUCCCCCUGUGUGUGAUCCCCUGUGUAUGCUCCCCCCUUGUGUGCUCCCCGUGUGUGCUCCCGGUGUGUGUGCUCCCGGUGUGUGUGCUCCCCCUGUGUGUGCUCCCCCUGUGUGUGCUCCAUUUGUGGCUCAUCAUGACCACCUUAUGAAGUUAGAAAUGUUCAUGGAGUAGACUUUGCAGAUGGGCAAACUGACUCUGGAGAGGUUGAAAUGAUUUACUUGGUGUUUUAGUUUCCUCAUGCUAUACACUACAAGCAAAACAACUUAGAAGCAAAGGGUUUAUUUGAGUUACACUUCCACAUCAUUGUUCAUCAUGAAGGAAGUCAGGGCAGGAACUCAAACAGGGCAGAACCUAGAGGGAGGAGCACCAUGGAGGGGAGCUGCUUACCAGCUUGCUCCUCAUGGCUUGCUCAGCCUGCCUUCUUAUAAGACCCAGGCCCACCUGCUCAGGAGUGGCCCAUCCACAAUGGGCUGGGCCCUUCCCCAUUGAUCACUAAUUAACAAAGCUUUCUACAGGCUUGCCUACAGCCUGGUCUUAUGGAGGCUUUUCUCAACUGAGGCUUCUCCCGGGACUCUAACUAGUGUCAAGUUGACGUAAAACUAGUCCACACACUCAGGGUUGCACACAACAUGGUUGUUGUGGCAGAACCAGGUUCAGAAAUACAUCAUUUGAUGUUCUUUUCCAGGACAUUUCAGUCUCUUAGAUCUUGACUGUGAUUCGAUGGUACACAACAUGGAGGAAGCAGACUGUGAAUAUGCCUGUCACCAACACCCUGGAGCACAUCAAAGAAAAGGAGAACGGAGAGAUCUUAAAUCUGGCCACCUCUCAUUUUUCAUUAGUCUUUUCUGGAAGAUUCCAACGCUGCCUGUUCGUUCAGGGGAUGGCAAAGUUGUCUGUCCCUGUGACCUUGGACCUGUAUAUGGGUUUGGAUGUUGGCUGAAGUCACACCUGAGACGGGGCCUCUCCUGGGGAGUGAGGCAAGAUGUCCUCUCCUCUGGCUGGGAAAGCAACACACAUGAUGCUAUUCAUCACGCAGCGCCUGUGUGCAUGUCCUCCGUCAGCAGGAGAGUCCUAUGUGCUUCAGCAGUCAUCACGUCCCCGAGGACAGACACCACCUCAGACGCAGUCACAGUUAACAAGUCCAGGGUGGGCAGGCUCGCCACGUGCUCUUCUCUAGCUUUGGUACAAGAUGUCAGGCUCUGGAGCCUGAAGAGACCGCAGAGCCCAAGAGAGCUUCAGUCUUGA